AAAUUGAAGAGUUUGAUCAUGGCUCAGAUUGAACGCUGGCGGCAGGCCUAACACAUGCAAGUCGAACGGUAACAGGAAGCAGCUUGCUGCUUCGCUGACGAGUGGCGGACGGGUGAGUAAUGUCUGGGAAACUGCCUGAUGGAGGGGGAUAACUACUGGAAACGGUAGCUAAUACCGCAUAACGUCGCAAGACCAAAGAGGGGGACCUUCGGGCCUCUUGCCAUCGGAUGUGCCCAGAUGGGAUUAGCUAGUAGGUGGGGUAACGGCUCACCUAGGCGACGAUCCCUAGCUGGUCUGAGAGGAUGACCAGCCACACUGGAACUGAGACACGGUCCAGACUCCUACGGGAGGCAGCAGUGGGGAAUAUUGCACAAUGGGCGCAAGCCUGAUGCAGCCAUGCCGCGUGUAUGAAGAAGGCCUUCGGGUUGUAAAGUACUUUCAGCGGGGAGGAAGGGAGUAAAGUUAAUACCUUUGCUCAUUGACGUUACCCGCAGAAGAAGCACCGGCUAACUCCGUGCCAGCAGCCGCGGUAAUACGGAGGGUGCAAGCGU
rnacentral:rRNA from 1 species